GGUUGAAGCAAAGUAAACCUACUCCAUAUACACCCCAGCUCAGGCACUGCCUGGUCUGUAUUGUGAAUGGGGAGACAUAG
rnacentral:snoRNA from 1 species